rnacentral:rRNA from 1 species
AGAAGUUUGAUCCUGGCUCAGAAGCGAACGCUGGCGGCAGGCUUAACACAUGCAAGUCGAGCGGGCGUACCAAUACGUCAGCGGCAGACGGGUGAGUAACGCGUGGGAACGUACCUUUAUGGUUCGGAACAACACAGGGAAACUUGGUGCUAAUACCGGAUAAGCCCUUACGGGGAAAAGAUUUAUCGCCGAAAGAUCGGCCCGCGUCUGAUUAGCUAGUGGGUGAGGUAACGGCUCACCAAGGCGACGAUCAGUAGCUGGUCUGAGAGGAUGAUCAGCCACAUGGGGACUGAGACACGGCCCAAACUCCUACGGGAGGCAGCAGUGGGGAAUAUUGGACAAUGGGCGCAAGCCUGAUCCAGCCAUGCCGCGUGAGUGAUGAAGGCCCUAGGGUUGUAAAGCUCUUUUGUGCGGGAAGAUAAUGACGGUACCGCAAGAAU